CUGCAGCUAACGCAUUAAGCACUCCGCCUGGGGAGUACGACCGCAAGGUUGAAACUCAAAGGAAUUGACGGGGGCCCGCACAAGCGGUGGAGCAUGUGGUUUAAUUCGAAGCAACGCGAAGAACCUUACCAGGUCUUGACAUCCUUUGACCACUCUGGAGACAGAGCUUUCCCUUCGGGGACAAAGUGACAGGUGGUGCAUGGUUGUCGUCAGCUCGUGUCGUGAGAUGUUGGGUUAAGUCCCGCAACGAGCGCAACCCUUGAUUUUAGUUGCCAGCAUUUAGUUGGGCACUCUAAAGUGACUGCCGGUGCAAGCCGGAGGAAGGUGGGGAUGACGUCAAAUCAUCAUGCCCCUUAUGACCUGGGCUACACACGUGCUACAAUGGAUAGUACAAAGGGUCGCGAAGCCGCGAGGUGGAGCUAAUCCCAUAAAACUAUUCUCAGUUCGGAUUGUAGGCUGCAACUCGCCUACAUGAAGCCGGAAUCGCUAGUAAUCGUGGAUCAGCAUGCCACGGUGAAUACGUUCCCGGGCCUUGUACACACCGCCCGUCACACCACGAGAGUUUGUAACACCCGAAGUCGGUAGGGUAACCUUUAUGGAGCCAGCCGCCGAAGGUGGGACAGAUAAUUGGGGUGAAGUCGUAACAAGGUAGCCGUAUCGGAAGGUGCGGCUGGAUCACCUCCUUUCUAAGGAA
rnacentral:rRNA from 1 species